AAUGGGGGCAACCCUGAUGCAGCCAUGCCGCGUGUGUGAAGAAGGCCUUCGGGUUGUAAAAGCACUUUCAGUUGUGAGGAAAAGUURGUAGUUAAUACCUGCUAGCCGUGACGUUAACAUCAGAAGAAGCACCGGCUAACUCCGUGCCAGCAGCCGCGGUAAUACGGAGGGUGCGAGCGUUAAUCGGAAUUACUGGGCGUAAAGCGCRCGCAGGCGGUUUKUUMAGYUAGAUGUGAAAGCCCCGGGCUCAACCUGGGAAGKUCAUUUGAACUGGCAGACUAGAGUCUUGUAGAGGGGAGUGGAAUUUCCGGUGUAGCGGUGAAAUGCGUAGAUAUCUGGAGGAACAUCAGUGGCGAAGGCGACUCCCUGGMCURAUACUGACGCUCAUGUGCGAAAGUGUGGGKAGCGAACAGGAUUAGAUACCCUGGUAGUCCACACCGUAAACGMUGUCUACUAGCYGUGGGUGCACUWRAUGCGUGCAGUGGCGCAGCUAACGCGCUAAGUAGACCGCCUGGG
rnacentral:rRNA from 1 species